rnacentral:rRNA from 1 species
ACGAACGCUGGCGGCAUGCCUAACACAUGCAAGUCGAACGAGACCUUCGGGUCUAGUGGCGCCCGGGUGCGUAACGCGUGGGAACCUGCCCUUAGGUUCGGAAUAACUCCCCGAAAGGGGUGCUAAUACCGGAUAAUGUCUUCGGACCAAAGAUUUAUCGCCUUUGGAUGGGCCCGCGUUGGAUUAGCUAGUUGGUAGGGUAAAAGCCUACCAAGGCGACGAUCCAUAGCUGGUCUGAGAGGAUGAUCAGCCACACUGGGACUGAGACACGGCCCAGACUCCUACGGGAGGCAGCAGUGGGGAAUAUUGGACAAUGGGCGAAGGCCUGAUCCAGCAAUGCCGCGUAAGUGAUGAAGGCCUUAGGGUUGUAAAGCUCUUUUACCCGGGAUGAUAAUGACAGUACCGGGAGAAUAAGCACCGGCUAACUCCGUG